AUGAAAGCCCUAAAAGCAUUGGCUCCACUCCAAGCUCCAUUCCAAGGUCUCUACGGUAUCGACUCCUCGAAUGUGCCAGAUACAUCCCUCAGGUUAGGACUCCGGCCCCAAGCCCAGCGGAGGCUCCCCACCUCUUCCGGGCUGGCUGUUGAGGAAUCUGGCACCCUGGCCUGCCUUUGGCUGCACUCCCUGUGGCAGGGAGGAAGCGGGGCCUGGAAGGGGGGAGCCAGGCCUUCCAUGGCGGGCAGGAGGGCAGACCCGGCUCCUUCCCGCCCCAGCCCGACGGCUCCCGAGGCCUCUCGCUCCCCCCACGCCGGCUUCCUGGGCACCCACUGGGUGCCAACGACUGCGGGUGCAGGGAGCAUAGCGGAGAACAAGACAGGUGUCACACCAGUGCUCAGAGCAACUUCCAGGGAAAUAUCAGGUGGUGAAAAGGGCAGCAAAGAAAAACACAGCAGGCGAAGGGGACAGGAAAUGGGGUGGGCUGAUCUGGAACGGGGUGCUUCUAGGGCAAGAUGAGGAGGUAUUUCUUGGCCUGGGGGAUUGUUGGAUUUCUGUUAAUUAAUUAAUUAAUUUAUGCCCCCCUCCUUGCGGCUUUGCUUGCUAUCUGCUCUCUGUGUCCAUUCGCUGCGGAUUCUUCUGUGUCUGCUUGUCUCUCUUUGUUGUGUCAUCUUGCUGCGCCAACUCUCCGCGGACUCGGGCCAGCUUUGCCUUCACAAGGCGGCCCCGGGACUCGAACCCAGGGCCUCCCGUAUGGUCGACGGGAGCCCAACCGAUUGAGGCACAGCCGCUUCCCUGGGUGAUUGGUUUUCAUUAUCGUCGUCCUUUAACACAGUCCCCGUGUUUUCACACACUCCCAAGAACGUUCCUGGUAGCAACACCCUGGAAAUCACAUCAACAGAAGAAUGGGCAAUUCAGGCGUGACAGAUUGACUAGGACACGGCAGCGAAAAGGAGAGUGAUUUUAUUCUUGUUUAUUUUUUAAGAGCUUUAUUUCAAAUUCGAGGAAAUGAAAUAACAGAAAAAGGCAGCUCAACAAGUCAUGGGGGAGGCGGAUGGGGCUCAGGCAGUUGGGCGUCCGCCUACCACGUGGGAGGCCCCAGGUUCGGUUCCCGGUGCCUCCUAAAGAAGACGAACAAGACAACGAGCUGACACAACAGGCUGGCGAUGCAGACAGAUGACACAAGGAGAAACAACGAGGAAGCUCAAUGAGAGACAAAACAAGCAGGAGCGGAGGUGGUUCAAGCAAUUAGGUGUCCCCCUCCCACAUGGGAGAUCCUGGAACCCAGUGCCUCCCAAAAGAAAAAAAGAUGAAGACAAGUACACAGCUAGUGCAAACAAGGCAGGGGAAGAAAUAAAUAAAUUAAAUACAUCUUUUUAAAAAUUGUCCUGAAUGACAUUACAAUGACAGAUACAAGCCAUUAUAGACCUGGUCAGAACUUACAAAAUUGUGCAGGAGAAGGUGGAAACUACAAUGUAAACUCUAAUCCACGCUUAAUGGCAAGGCUCCAAAAUGUGUACCAC
rnacentral:lncRNA from 1 species